rnacentral:rRNA from 1 species
AGAGUUUGAUCCUGGCUCAGAUUGAACGCUGGCGGCAUGCUUUACACAUGCAAGUCGGACGGCAGCACAGAGAAGCUUGCUUCUUGGGUGGCGAGUGGCGAACGGGUGAGUAACAUAUCGGAACGUACCGAGCAGUGGGGGAUAACUAAUCGAAAGAUUAGCUAAUACCGCAUAUUUUCUGAGGAAGAAAGCAGGGGACCUUUGGGCCUUGCGCUGUUUGAGCGGCCGAUAUCUGAUUAGCUAGUUGGUGGGGUAAAGGCCUACCAAGGCGACGAUCAGUAGCGGGUCUGAGAGGAUGAUCCGCCACACUGGGACUGAGACACGGCCCAGACUCCUACGGGAGGCAGCAGUGGGGAAUUUUGGACAAUGGGCGCAAGCCUGAUCCAGCCAUGCCGCGUGUCUGAAGAAGGCCUUCGGGUUGUAAAGGACUUUUGUCAGGGAAGAAAAGGGCGGGGUUAAUACCCCUGUCUGAUGACGGUACCUGAAGAAUAAGCACCGGCUAACUACGUGCCAGCAGCCGCGGUAAUACGUAGGGUGCGAGCGUUAAUCGGAAUUACUGGGCGUAAAGCGGGCGCAGACGGUUACUUAAGCAGGAUGUGAAAUCCCCGGGCUCAACCUGGGAACUGCGUUCUGAACUGGGUGACUAGAGUGUAUCAGAGGGAGGUAGAAUUCCACGUGUAGCAGUGAAAUGCGUAGAGAUGUGGAGGAAUACCGAUGGCGAAGGCAGCCUCCUGGGAUAACACUGACGUUCAUGCCCGAAAGCGUGGGUAGCAAACAGGAUUAGAUACCCUGGUAGUCCACGCCCUAAACGAUGUCGAUUAGCUGUUGGGCAGCAUGACUGCUUAGUAGCGAAGCUAACGCGUGAAAUCGACCGCCUGGGGAGUACGGUCGCAAGAUUAAAACUCAAAGGAAUUGACGGGGACCCGCACAAGCGGUGGA